UUACCAUGCUGUUUGUGCUGCCUGUCAACCUAUUUUUGCUUCGUGAUGGUGGGGCUUCUUGAACAAGGGGACUAUGGUGGAGGACUUGAGGCAGGUUGGGACAGGUGACUGUGGUGAAGGUGGUGCUGCUGUGGGCCGUGUGUUGUUGCUGUGACUCCAGUGCCUCCAGUACCGUGACCUAAAAGUGGGCGAAGUAGAUGUUCAGCUCCUCUGCCAGUACCAGGCCACCUUCAGCAGCUCUGAGGACGCCCUGCCACACCUGCCAGCUGCUGUUACACUCCAAACUGUCCUCAAUCCUCCUCCUAUAGUUCCCUUUGGCCUCCGUGAUGCCUCUCUUCAGGUUGGCUUGGGCCAUGGUGUAGUGGUCCCUGUUUCCAGACCUGAAAGCAAUGUUCCUCUCCUUCAGCAGCUGCCAGACCUCCCGGGUGAUCCAGGGUUUUUGGUUGGGAUAAGCCUGGACGUGUUUGUCCACUGUGACGGUGUCUAUCCAGUGGGCAGCCACCAGUCCGGGCGCUGGAUUGAUGGCUGCCCACUGCUUCACUGAGUGAAUGGUUUAAAUGCUGAGGACUAAUUUCCUAGGGACUAAUUUUCUACUGUAUUAAUAAAGUAAUCAUCAUUAUUAUUAUUUUUAUGAAACUGAGAACACUGCCUGUGAA